rnacentral:rRNA from 1 species
GGAAGGAGAAGUCGUAACAAGGUUUUCAACUGGUCCUUCUCGCUACCCUCUGGGUCCAGUUGCACGGAAGCCUGAGUCGAGCCUAUCAUGUGGAUGAUGGGACUUUGCUAGUGCCAGCUUUUUUCUGGUGCGACGUCGUCAAACUGCGGGGAAGGGCAAAGGAGCAAGUGGCUACCAAGCACGGCGGCGUUUCUGGCGCCGAGUGUGGCCGAGAAUGACAUCUCGGGUAUGGUAACAAUGCCUCUACGCUUGUCCCAACCUGCAGCCAAACCAUUGACCUUGUCAAUGUAGUGUUCACAGACUAGAUGACGAGGGCCUUUCGGGCUCAAGAUAUAGUCGGGCAUGCUUACGAGCAUGAUAGUACUUUCCGCAUGUGAAUUCACCGUUCC